CACUGUCUCAAGGGGUGCUCUAAAUAACGAGCUGAGAUUAUACCCAAUGAACCUGAGCGGGUAAUGCUGCUAAGGGAAAACAGACUUAACGAUUAA
rnacentral:ncRNA from 1 species